rnacentral:rRNA from 1 species
AGCGAACGCUGGCGGCAGGCUUAACACAUGCAAGUCGAGCGGGCAUAGCAAUAUGUCAGCGGCAGACGGGUGAGUAACGCGUGGGAACGUACCUUUUGGUUCGGAGCAACUGAGGGAAACUUCAGCUAAUACCGGAUAAGCCCUUACGGGGAAAGAUUUAUCGCCGAAAGAUCGGCCCGCGUCUGAUUAGCUAGUUGGUGAGGUAAUGGCUCACCAAGGCGACGAUCAGUAGCUGGUCUGAGAGGAUGAUCAGCCACAUUGGGACUGAGACACGGCCCAAACUCCUACGGGAGGCAGCAGUGGGGAAUAUUGGACAAUGGGCGCAAGCCUGAUCCAGCCAUGCCGCGUGAGUGAUGAAGGCCCUAGGGUUGUAAAGCUCUUUUGUGCGGGAAGAUAAUGACGGUACCGCAAGAAUAAGCCCCGGCUAACUUCGUG